CUACGGGUCGCAGCAGUGAGGAAUAUUGCACAAUGGGGGGAACCCUGAUGCAGCAACGCCGCGUGGAGGAUGACGCAUUUCGGUGUGUAAACUCCUUUUAUAUGUCAAGAAAAUGACGGUAGCAUAUGAAUAAGCACCGGCUAACUCUGUGCCAGCAGCCGCGGUAAUACGGAGGGUGCAAGCGUUACUCGGAAUCACUGGGCGUAAAGGACGCGUAGGCGGGUUGGAAAGUCAGGUGUGAAAUCCUACAGCUUAACUGUAGAACUGCACUUGAAACUUCUAAUCUAGAGUAUGGGAGGGGGAGAUGGAAUUAGUGGUGUAGGGGUAAAACCCGUAGAUAUCACUAGGAAUACCUAAAGCGAAGGCGAUCUCCUGGAACAUUUCUGACGCUAAGGCGUGAAAGCGUGGGGAGCAAACAGGAUUAGAUACCCCGGUAGUC
rnacentral:rRNA from 1 species